GUAGGUGAACCUGCGGAAGGAUCAUUACACUCAGUAGUUUACUACUGUAAAGGAGGCUGUUAGUCUGUAUAGCUUAAUCGCUGAUGAGCAGCUGGUCUCUUUUUCUCCACCCUUGUCUUUUGCGUACCCAUGUUUCCUCGGCAGGCUUGCCUGUCGAUUGGACAAUUCUAUAACCUUUUUAAUCUUCAAUCAGCGUCUGAAAAAAACGUAAUAAUUACAACUUUCAACAACGGAUCUCUUGGUUCUGGCA
rnacentral:misc_RNA from 1 species